UGACUCCUUGAGAGUCCUGAAGGAACGUUGAAGACGACGACGUUGAUAGGUCGGGUGUGUAAGCGCAGCGAUGCGUUGAGCUAACCGAUACUAAUGAACCGUGAGGCUUAACCUUACAACGCCGAAG
rnacentral:rRNA from 1 species